ACGAAGGGUGCUAGCGUUGUUCGGAAUCACUGGGCGUAAAGGGUACGUAGGCGGUUUGGUAAGUCGAUUGUGAAAGCCCCAGGCUCAACUUGGGAACUGCAACCGAAACUGCCUUACUUGAGUUUGGUAGGGGAUGGUGGAAUUCCUAGUGUAGGGGUGAAAUCCGUAGAGAUUAGGAAGAACACCAGUGGCGAAGGCGACCAUCUAUGCCAAUACUGACGCUGAGGUACGAAAGCGUGGGGAGCAAACAGG
rnacentral:rRNA from 1 species